GGAGGGUCAUUGGAAACUGGGGAACUUGAGUGCAGAAGAGGAGAGUGGAAUUCCACGUGUAGCGGUGAAAUGCAUAGAGAUGUGGAGGAACACCAGUGGCGAAGGCGACUCUCUGGUCUGUAACUGACGCUGAGGCGCGAAAGCGUGGGGAGCGAACAGGAUUAGAUACCCUGGUAGUCCACGCCGUAAACGAUGAGUGCUAAGUGUUAGAGGGUUUCCGCCCUUUAGUGCUGCAGCAAACGCAUUAAGCACUCCGCCUGGGGAGUACGGUCGCAAGACUGAAACUCAAAGGAAUUGACGGGGGCCCGCACAAGCGGUGGAGCAUGUGGUUUAAUUCGAAGCAACGCGAAGAACCUUACCAGGUCUUGACAUCCUCUGACAACCCUAGAGAUAGGGCUUCCCCUUCGGGGGCAGAGUGACAGGUGGUGCAUGGUUGUCGUCAGCUCGUGUCGUGAGAUGUUGGGUUAAGUCCCGCAACGAGCGCAACCCUUGAUCUUAGUUGCCAGCAUUCAGUUGGGCACUCUAAGGUGACUGCCGGUGACAAACCGGAGGAAGGUGGGGAUGACGUCAAAUCAUCAUGCCCCUUAUGACCUGGGCUACACACGUGCUACAAUGGGCAGAACAAAGGGCAGCGAAGCCGCGAGGCUAAGCCAAUCCCACAAAUCUGUUCUCAGUUCGGAUCGCAGUCUGCAACUCGACUGCGUGAAGCUGGAAUCGCU
rnacentral:rRNA from 1 species